rnacentral:lncRNA from 1 species
UUUGACUUAUGAUAAAUCUCAUGGCUAUUUCUUUGGUGUUUUGAUGAGGUUUUAGGAAAUUGACCAACCAUAAUUUAAUUUAAUGCAUAUUUUUAUUAUUUUUAAUUGAUUAAAUGCCAAAUAAAUUGUGUAGAGUCAUUUUAAUUGACUUUGUGAGUUUGACUUGUGUUGUUGGGCCUUGGUCAAGGUUGAUUUGACUUUGCUAGGUUAAGAUCAUUGGAUUUAGGGGAUUGAUGGAAUG